GCCAGGUGUGGUGGUGCACACCUGUAAUCCCAGCUACUUGGGAGGCUGUGACAGGAGAAUUGCUUGAACCCAGGAGACUGAGGUUGCAGUGAGCCAAGAUUGCGCCACUGCACUCCAGCCUGGGUGACAGAGGGAGACUCUGUCUUUU
ensembl:misc_RNA Metazoa_SRP Metazoan signal recognition particle RNA